AAUAUUUCCAUAAUUAUUGUGAUUAAUAUUUAAUCACCCUUCUCACCCUUUAUUUUAAUUUCUCUACCAUAUGACUAAAUUCCACAAAUUGCCAAGUGUAGAGAUUGAGAGUGUGUUUAUUGAGAGAGUAGAGAUUGAGAGUGUAGAGAUUAGAGAGAGAAGUGUAAAGAUUAGAGUGAGAGAGAGAUCAAGGCAUUAAUUGCCAAAUAUUUCAUAAGAUCUCAAAAUCUUCCAAAGAUUAGCAAGAUCAAUUCAUAUCUCACCAAAUAUUUUCUCUCUCUCUCACUCACCAUUUUCGGCCUUCUCUCUCUCUCCCUCACCUCUCACUUUCCUCCAUUUUCCUCCAUUGAAGAAGACCUUCGGAGCUUCCAAAAAUAUUACCAAACACCUCAAUCCACUCUAAAAUCUUCCAUAAACACAUUCUAGCCACUUAUAAUCAAGAGAAUCCUUGAAGAAGAACUCCAAAGUUAGAGUGAGAAAGUGUGAACUUUGGUAAGAAACUUGGACACGAGCAGAGCAAGGAAGUAAGUAACUCCGCUUUGACGGGAGAUUUUGAGUAAGGUCUUCAGACUAAGCGAGGAGCGAGAUUGGACUGGUGCUGGUGGGGAAUUGUUAGAGGAUGUAUUUACUUUAUCGCAUUUCCAUUUUGACGAUAAAGUCUUGAUGAUUGAUAUAUAUAUACUUUGAUUUUCUUUUGAAUUUAAGCAAUGUACUCACGGUUAUAUGUCUUCAUACAUAUAAUCGAUUCGCCUUUUGCUGCGAUACUCUGCAUAUUAUUCUUCCUUACGAAAAAUGAGCUAUACCCGUUUUGUUUU